rnacentral:rRNA from 1 species
CAGUAGCCGCGGUAAUACGAAGGGUGCAAGCGUUACUCGGAAUUACUGGGCGUAAAGCGUGCGUAGGUGGUGGUUUAAGUCCGUUGUGAAAGCCCUGGGCUCAACCUGGGAAUUGCAGUGGAUACUGGGUCACUAGAGUGUGGUAGAGGAUAGUGGAAUUUCCGGUGUAGCAGUGAAAUGCGUAGAGAUCGGAAGGAACAUCUGUGGCGAAGGCGACUAUCUGGGCCAACACUGACACUGAGGCACGAAAGCGUGGGGAGCAAACAGGAUUAGAGACCCGUGUAGUCCCUGUCUCUUAUAA